rnacentral:lncRNA from 10 species
CUACAAGAUGGUGCUGAUCUGAUGCACAGAGAAGGGGAGGGGAGAUGAAGGCCUGGAGGAUGAUGGGCUGAACUUGGGCUGGCAUCAAAUCUUUGAAACCUGAGGGGGCCAGAGACCUGGAAGGAUGUGCUGUGUGUCUUCUUAGGAUAAACAUCUUUUGGCAACUUGUAAGGUUUCUUUUCUGGGAGCUGCUAUCACUGAAUACAUAAAGAAAUUGAGCCUAUAUGAUUUCAAUCUUCACCUUCUGAUGCUGAUGAAACAGGAUUCUAUGCAGAGAAAAUCCUCUCCAGUCAAGUAAUUGCAUCCAUUUCAUCUUCCCAGCCCUCCUCUAGAUGGGAGGUGGAGGUGUGUGUACCAAUCUCUUAAUUCAGAAAUGAGACAAGAGGAGGAAAAAGGAGUUCCGGAGACUUUGAGUAAAGCUGAUCACCUUACGUAAUGUGAGUGGGUCUCGUCCAAUCAACUGAAGGCUUUAAGAGCAAAGACAAAGGUUUUUCAAAGAGAAAAAGAAGACUCUCCUCAAGACUGUGACAUAGAAACUCUGCCUGAAUUUCUAGCCUGCUGCCCUGCAGAAUUUAGAGUCAAGCCUACAACAUAACUCUUACCUGAAUUCUCAGGCUGCUGACUUACCCUGCAGAUUUUGGACUUGCCAGCCCCUCACAAUCCCAUGAGCCAAUUCCUUAAAAUAAAUCUCUCUUUUUCCCUCUGUAUAUAUUUAUGUCCUAUUGAUUUUGGUUCUCUGGAGAGCCCUGACUACUACACUGAGUGAAGGGAGGGCUUUGCUAAGUGAUCAUGGUCCCAAGGGCAGCCUCUGAGAGCCCGCUCCUUUUGCAGGAUAUUUGAAGACCAGACCUUGAGUCAAAUUCUGCAGCCAAAUUCAAUGCCCAUAAGACUUUCUGCUCAGAAGACGUCAUGCAAAGGGAAUCCCCAGGGCUCUUUAAAUUAGAUCUUCUGUUUGUGCAGACACGUGAUAAAUGUUUUGGGUACAGCCUGGCUCACACCACAUUUUCCACUUUUUGGGUGGAGUCAGUUUUAAUUGACAAGAAGUGCCUUUACAGGUGGACUUUUUUUUUGGUGGUGGAGGGGAGUAGUUAAAACCGAUGCUUUGCAUUCUGUUGGGCAGCAGAAAGAUUGCUUUUUCAAUAAGCAAGCCUUGGGUUUUUCUGAGCCAGUGGUAUGAGAAAUGCCUCUCCUGAAGGCCACCACGCAAGCGAGUCCCCACAGAAGCAUGCCCGAGCUGUCAGGUGCAGGGAGAAAUAUCUUUAGUAAGAGCCGGUCAUGUAAUGAGACUUCCCCACCACAGCAUAGAUGGGCAGAGGGGUUUCCACAAGGACAAUUCUUAAGAAUCUCUGUAAAAACGCAUGACUCCAUCUGUCUCCUCUCUCUUCUUUGGCUUCAGAUGAGCUGAGCCAUUUAAAAAUUCCCCAACAAGGGACCCCAGGCACCAGAAGAAGUGAUGAACAGAUUUUCAAUUUGGCCCUGAUUUGCAUAAAUUUUUUUUUUCUGGCAGUUGAAAUCAUUGAGACUAGAGGCCGGAGAUGGGUAGUAGUGGGUUUUCCCCAUCUGAAGCGGAUUCUUGAUUGGUCUGGAAAGACUGCUGGAGCUCCUGGGUGCAAGGCUCUGACCAGCAGAGCUGGUCAGCAGAGCUGACUGCUCUGGGUGCAGCUUCUCCAGAGAAGGAAGAGAUGGCAAAGAGGAAGGCCUGGGGUUCAGAGAAGGACUUUGCAACCCCAAUGGGGAGUCAGAUCCUCAGGUCUCCUCCUAGAGCGGCUGCCUGGUAACUUUCCCAGUGUCCUUCAGGGAGCAUCUCCUCGUCCGUGUGGCUGGUUUCUUCUGAUAGGAGGCUACCUUGUAAUUUCUCACUGACAGGACAGUGGGGACCCCAGCCAGAGCCUGGGGACUUGGCUGCCUUGGAACCAGAACCUGGCCCCUCAGAGGAGUUGCAGAAUUUCGAUAGAGGAGUGGCAGGAGGUGUACUGGCUGAAGAGGAGGCCCAAGGAACUCCUUUUCAUACAUCAAAACUGAGCUUAUCACCUCUACCCUGAAGUCAUCCUGGACAUCACUGGUCCCAGUUAAUCACUCACUUAUCUUUGCCAUCCUUGACCUGGUGAGUACAGUCUUUAUACCAUUUAUCAAUUAGUUAUAAUAUAUUUAUCAAUUUGUUAUAAUUGGAGAGUUGUAAAGGAUAUUAACCAGGCCCAGUUCAGGCAGUUUACAGGUGUGUGGGCACCCCGUCUGCUAUAGAUCUUUUGGUCCUAGAUUUCUAUAGCACAACGCUUAUCACUUAUUAAGUACUAAAGUUUCUGAUUUUUAUAAACGGAACUGAAAUGAAUCCCAAUUACUGACCUGUGGGACUCCCAGCCCUUUGACAUCUUGGUCCUGCCCAAAGUCAGGAGUACAUUUCCAGAGGGCUCUGCAGUGGGAAAUAGUGGUGGGAGUCUGUGUGUAUUCAGCUCGAUGCAUGCCCUAUGUUAGGUGUUUUCCCUUUUGCAGGCUGGAGUGAGCCCUUGAGCUGACCCAGAAGUUCUGAGCAUUUAUCACCCAGUAUUGAUGACCAUGUAUUUUGCCUCCUCUCUUUAUGCCUAAAGAUGAAGGAAGAAAUACAAGCUCAUGUUACAAAGAGUAUUUCCUGGGUUUAUCAGCUCUCCCCCUCUCAGCUUGAGCUCUGAAUGAUUUCUUAGUUCUCAGCUUUUCUUCCUCUGAUCAAAGUGCCUGAGGCAGUGAGCACUGGGAGGGCAGGAGCAUUUCUGGCUGAGCCCAAUGCUCACCUCUUCUGGGCCGUUUUAGGAAGCUGUGGCCCAGUGUUCUCUGGUCAGACAAGCAUGGCCUGGCUGUGGAAGGGUCUCCAAAGGCUCAUGGGUCCCAGGUGCCCUGGAUUUUGAAGGCAGCUGCCCUGCCUCCACUGGGAGAAGAUUAAAGCCCCCUUUGCCUUUCUUCGUCCCUCCCUUUCCCACUCUGUUCACUCAAUCACUCUUUUCUCUCCAAUGAAUUAAAUGCAGAAAAUCCAUGAGCAGGAUUUCUCUCUUCAAAGGACCAAAUAACCUUCUUUCUAUUCCCCCUAAAUUUUUUUCCAAACUGCAAAAAGAAAACAUGCAAACAGACUUCAAGUUAAAGGUGAGAGAAAGAAAGAAAAAUUGAAGCAAAGUAAUUUUAACUUGAGAAGUAGAGCAGUUUAAACCCAGAAAAAAAAUGUACACUCCGCAAUAUAGUCCUUUCCUACAAAUUAAUUAACCCAAAGUACUUGUUUAAUUAGUGUGAGGGGUAGGGAAUUGAGUAGCUAACAAUAUCUCUCACCCAGUUUAGAAUUAUGUUCACAAAAGAAUUUCUUCUUCUUUUCCUGAAAGGGAAGAGAACGUUGCCCUCAUUGGUCUGGAAUCAGCAGGUACCUCAUGGCUGGAGGUGUAUUUUCAGGUGGGUUGGGACUUUGAAGAGGUGGCUUUUCCUAUGGACCCCUCUGACUCCCCACCUGUGGGCAUGACACAGGUGACCUGGCUGCCAGGGCAGAGGCUGCUUAGCCCUGCUCCAGAGAAACAGAGCUCUGAGGGCUUCCAGAAACCAGGGCUCCUGGCUCCUCAGUCCUUCCCACUCCUCUCUUCCUACUCCCGUGCUGCAUAUAAACUUUUCUUUUUUUUUCAGAUGGAGUCUCACUCUGUCACUCAGGCUGGAGUGCAGUGGUGCGAUCUCAGCUUACUGCAACCUCCGCCUCCCGGGUUCAAGUGAUUCUCCUGCCUCAGCUUCCCCAGUAGCAGGGACUACAGGACCACAGGUGUAUGCCAUUAUGCUCGGCUAAUUUUUGUAUUUUUAGUAGAGACAGGGUCUCACCAUGUUGGCCAGGCUGGUCUCGAGCUCCUGACCUCAGGUGAUCACACGCCUUGGCCUCCCAAAAUGCUGGGAUUACAGGCAUGAGCCACUGCACUUGGCCUGCAUAUAAACUUUUUGAGUUUCCUGCUUUUGACAUGAGCAUGGAUAUUUAUCACUUCUAGAGGCAUUAGGAGAACUCAAGUCCAAGUGCUCAGAGACCUACAGUGCAGCUUAAGACCCUGUCACAGGAAUCUUCGGGGUGGGGGCAUGCACGGGAGUUAUAGAGAGUUGGGGAAGGAUGAGUUCUCAACCAAUGCUUUCCUUUUUUCCACAGACUCCUUUGGCAUCUGGUGAGGCCUGUGGAUUCAUUCUCAGAAUCACAUUUUUAAAUGCACAUAAUAAAAUACAUAGAAUUGCAAAGGAAGUUAAUUAUAUUGAAAUACAGUUAUCAAAAAUAUAAAUAAAACAAGUAUGUGGUACAGUCAUAUGUGUGCUUCUUUAUUAAGUCAUUACAAAGCAAGAUCUAUUUGGAGGUCUAAUAACUGUCAUAUGCUUGAAAAAAUCCUUAACAAUCAUAAUAUAUUAAAAAAUCUGAUUUCUACUUUGGCAAAUCAUAGAUAUUGCUGAAACUGUGGUUUAUUGCCUGCAUUCAUAAUUGAAGGAAAUGCUAGAGUUCAGUGAGAAGGUUGUGAAAAUAAAGAGAGCCUUUUUUUCUCAUCAAG